rnacentral:rRNA from 1 species
AGUCGACGGCAGCGCGGGGCAACCUGGCGGCGAGUGGCGAACGGGUGAGUAAUAUAUCGGAACGUACCCAAGAGUGGGGGAUAACGUAGCGAAAGUUACGCUAAUACCGCAUACGAUCUAAGGAUGAAAGCAGGGGACCUUCGGGCCUUGUGCUCCUGGAGCGGCCGAUAUCUGAUUAGCUAGUUGGUGAGGUAAAGGCUCACCAAGGCGACGAUCAGUAGCUGGUCUGAGAGGACGACCAGCCACACUGGGACUGAGACACGGCCCAGACUCCUACGGGAGGCAGCAGUGGGGAAUUUUGGACAAUGGGCGCAAGCCUGAUCCAGCAAUGCCGCGUGAGUGAAGAAGGCCUUCGGGUUGUAAAGCUCUUUUGUCAGGGAAGAAACGGUCGGGGCUAAUAUCCCCGGCUAAUGACGGUACCUGAAGAAUAAGCACCGGCUAACUACGUGCCAGCAGCCGCGGUAAUACGUAGGGUGCAAGCGUUAAUCGGAAUUACUGGGCGUAAAGCGUGCGCAGGCGGUUUUGUAAGUCUGACGU